UGGCUGGUCAGAGCCCAGUGACCCCCUGGAGCUGGUGGUGACAGCCUCCCACACCCAAGAUUACACAGUGGAGAAUCUCAUCCGCAUGGGCAUGGCUGCAGUGAUCCUGGUGGUCCUCGGGAUUCUCCUCUUUCAGGCUUGGUACAGUGAGAGAAGAGCCCAAGAUGCAGCCAGGAGGUAAACACAAGAGAUACAAGAGAGAACAAUGCAAUGAUCAGAAUAGCAGAGCCCGGGAAAUACACCUUGUGUGCCCAGGAGGUUCUGGAAGCGCAUGUGGGGCAAGUGCUGUGUGAACCGUCUGCAGAUCAUUGUGAGGAGGAGGAGUCAUGGCUCCAGUGUGGGGACAAUGUAUGCACUCUUUUGCCAUUAAACCGUGGACUCUCCUUCCAAA